rnacentral:lncRNA from 1 species
UUUUUUUUUUUCCUUCAGCAUUCCCUCACCAGAUGGAUUUUUGCUACUGCAGAUCAGCAGAGGGUGUCAGAUCUUUCAGAGUGCACCAGGCUGGAACAAGCAGAGCUUCUUAGCAACUCUCUUCUACCCCCCUCCCCAUUCUCGCGCUCUCUCCCUCCCUCAGACAACUCGCCCCCCGCCCUCCGCCCCCUCCACGUAAUUCCGAAAGAGCAGAAUAAAGAGGAGAAAAAGAAAAGAAGAGCUAGUAACCGAGAGCCGGAGCCCAGAAAAAAAGCUGAAGAGGACCGAAGGGAAGGAAAGGAAAAGGAUGGACAGCUACAAAACGCAGCGAUUGCGGAAAUUUUCCAGCGCCAUUGGCUCGGCAGCGUGAGUUCUUCGGUCGGGCGUGAUUUCAGCACCGGGGGGACUGGACAGCACCUCGGGGGGACUUCUGGGCAACCUGCAGCCACAGCAAGAACUCCAUCAGCCGCCUCAGCUACAGAAGCCGCCGAAAACCCUGCUUUGUAUCAGAGAGGCAAGAACCAUUUAUCCACAUGUACCAUUCAGCUCACCAUCAGUAACUGUCCCUAAUCCUUUACAAUGUAAGUGUAAUUGAACUUAAUUUUUUAAGUAAAUUGUGAUAACCUUUCAUUUAUUGUAGUCCUGCUGUAACUCGAAUUUUCAUUUUAGACAUUGUAUAAGGAUAGUUUUCCCUCAUCAUGAGGCUCUGAGUGGCUUCAGUUCUUUCUGGAUAGGUGUUGAUGCCAUGUUGUAAAUACUCAGCUUAUUUUUAAAAGAAAAGUUAAAAGCUGACUGAGAACUCUGCUUAGAUUUUCACAACACAGCCUUAUGGUGCGAGAGUUCAGAGUCUUUGGGAUCAUUUAUGGGGUCCACAACAAUGAACCUACAAUCAGAAGCCUGGAUUCUGGAUUAAGUCAUCCUCUAACUAGCUCUGUGAUCCUAGACAAGGCUCUUAAUUCAUACCUGAAAUGAGACUGUUGGACUGGAAUAAGGAAAUAAAAAUACUUUUUCUUUAAUGGUCCUGAUAUAAGUAUUUUAGGCUUUGUGGACUAAGAAGUAGAAUCGAGGACAUUAGAUAUAUUAUAUACAUAUAUAUGUGUAUAUACACGUAUGUUGUAUAAAAUAUAUUGUGUAUAUAUAUAUAUAAUAUACAUAUAUAUAUUAUA